AAAGGGAGACCUAAUUCGGGUAGAAGACGAAAAAAUAGUAGUCGAAACCAAGAAUCAAUCCCAAAAGGUCGGAACGAGGUAUGUGGCUUUCAAACUAGGUUCUGGGUUCAUAAAAGACCUGAAUCAGGAACAAGGGCUAUUAGCUCAGGUGGUUAGAGCGCACCCCUGAUAAGGGUGAGGUCCCUGGUUCGAGUCCAGGAUGGCCCACCUGCACAGGUGGCAAAAACAAAGAAGCGAGGAAUCAGCACCUUAUCUUACUUACAUAGUAAGAGAGAAUGCUGGCUCUGAGUAAAGAGUCCAGAGGAACCUUGAAAACUGCAUAGAGCUAGGUGAAAAAGCCAAAAAAGAAGACCGCAAG
rnacentral:tRNA from 1 species